rnacentral:snoRNA from 13 species
UCGCACAGCGAACACCCAAGUGUGCUCUCUAGUUCUCUUGGUCUAAAUUCUGUGCUAAAGCAAACGUUGUUCUUUUCCUCUGCAAUGAAAGGAGUCCUUUUCCUUUUAUAUGUAUUCAGAAGGACAGCACACGG